rnacentral:lncRNA from 1 species
CCAUUUAAUUUUAAUUACUGAGAAGUUCUUAGAUCUUUCAACUAAUUCUCAAACUUUGUUUCUUUCAAAUUAAUUUAAUUCUUCUUAUAUUGCUAAUAUCUAAUUAUGAUCUUUUUCAGCUUCUAUUAUAUUUUUAAGUUUUAAAUGUAAUACAAAAGCAAAGUGAUUUAUAGCUUUCCAAAGUGAUGCUCUAGUUUUAACACCAAG